rnacentral:misc_RNA from 1 species
UUUCGAUGCCAUUGAAAUUACUUCUCGAAGACAAUAGAACUAUAGAGUUGCAAAGUUCAAUGUCAUGUGCAUAUUGGAAUGCAAUUCCUUGCCUAGCUAAAUCUUCGAUUGAUAGUUGAUGUAACUGAUGAACAUUAUAUCCAAUUUGAAAUUAUAAUGGAAAUGAGCUAUUAUCUGCUCUUUGAUUGAAACAAUGUCAUGGUAAUUGGUUUAAAAGUGUCUAAUUGAACAAGUUAUAUCUUGAGGUAGAUAGCGAGUUUUGUCAUUUGCUGAUAUUGGUUAAUGUCCAUAGAAGAAACGAAUGAACAUUCAAUCACAGGAUCUGAGUCUAAUAUUGGGAGUUGGAUUUAACCUUUCUGCGUUCAUUUGUAGAAAAUAUGACUGUCACAUUAUGGUGACUUGAUUUACGCUAUUGAUCUAACUAUAGCAUGGACACAUUGUUAUUUUUAACUAUAUGCCGGACUUAUUUUGUUCCAUAAAUUCUUGCUGCACUUAUCCUUG